AACGUAGGAGGCAAGCGUUAUCCGGAUUUACUGGGCGUAAAGCGUGCGCAGGCGGUUUUGUAAGCCAGAUGUGAAAGCCCCGGGCUCAACCUGGGAAUGGCAUUUGGGACUGCAAGGCUGGAGUUUGGCAGAGGAGACUGGAAUUCCCGGUGUAGCAGUGAAAUGCGUAGAUAUCGGGAGGAAUACCGAUGGCGAAGGCAGGUCUCUGGGCUAUAACUGACGCUCAUGCACGAAAGCGUGGGGAGCAAACAGG
rnacentral:rRNA from 1 species